UUAGGUGCAGGAGGCACGAGGAAAGUUUUGGCGGUUUUUAUGGGUGGGGUUUAAAGGUACUAUAUAAAGUUUUGGAUUUAAAUGUAUUAGUAUCGAAGGUGCUCUUAUAUUUAGUUACGUCGAAUUGAAGUUGGUCACAUAGGUAUAUGUGCAGUUGCUGCUAUGUUUAUUGUACGUACAGGCGUUGGAUGUAUUAGCCGGGGGAA
rnacentral:lncRNA from 1 species